UACGUAGGGUGCGAGCGUUACUCGGAAUUACUGGGCGUAAAGCGUGCGCAGGCGGUUCGUUAAGUCAGAUGUGAAAGCCCCGGGCUCAACCCGGGAACUGCAUUUGAAACUGGCGGGCUUGAGUGUGGCAGAGGGGGGUGGAAUUCCGCGUGUAGCAGUGAAAUGCGUAGAGAUGCGGAGGAACACCGAUGGCGAAGGCAGCCCCCUGGGCCAACACUGACGCUCAGGCACGAAAGCGUGGGGAGCAAACAGG
rnacentral:rRNA from 1 species